rnacentral:rRNA from 1 species
UACGUAGGGUGCAAGCGUUAAUCGGAAUUACUGGGCGUAAAGCGUGCGCAGGCGGUGAUGUAAGACAGGUGUGAAAGCCCCGGGCUUAACCUGGGAAUGGCCGUUGAAACUGGCGAACUGGAGUGUGGCAGAGGGGGGUGGAAUUCCGCGUGUAGCAGUGAAAUGCGUAGAGAUGCGGAGGAACACCGAUGGCGAAGGCAGCCCCCUGGGCUAACACUGACGCUCAGGCACGAAAGCGUGGGGAGCAAACAGG